rnacentral:rRNA from 1 species
AGUGAACGCUGGCGGUAGGCCUAACACAUGCAAGUCGAACGGCAGCACAGGAGAGCUUGCUCUCUAGGUGGCGAGUGGCGGACGGGUGAGGAAUACAUCGGAAUCUGCCCAGUCGUGGGGGAUAACGUAGGGAAACUUACGCUGAUACCGCAUACGACCUUCGGGUGAAAGAGGGGGAUCGCAAGACCUCUCGCGAUUGGAUGAGCCGAUGUCGGAUUAGCUAGUUAGCGGGGUAAUGGCCCACCAAGGCGACGAUCCGUAGCUGGUCUGAGAGGAUGAUCAGCCACACUGGAACUGAGACACGGUCCAGACUCCUACGGGAGGCAGCAGUGGGGAAUAUUGGACAAUGGGCGCAAGCCUGAUCCAGCCAUACCGCGUGGGUGAAGAAGGCCUUCGGGUUGUAAAGCCCUUUUGUUGGGAAAGAAAUCUUUCAGGCUAAUACCCUGGGAGGAUGACGGUACCCAAAGAAUAAGCACCGGCUAACUUCGUG